UUUUUUUUUUAAAUUCUUUAUUUUUGAUGUGCUUAAAAGGUACAUGCGUGCCGGUAAUGCCACAACAGCAAUUACUAGCAUCUCAAGGUAGACAGUAUACGUCAAGAGGAAAUACAGCACAUUUUUUGUUUUUAUGAACAUGCUUACGAGUAACUUGGCACAGGUUAUAUAGGUAAAGAAACAGCAAUUCAAGAGUUAUGUCUGCCGAUGAUAUUUGAUUAGUCUGGGACUUGUACUUAUGUCAGUGUGGACUAAAAGUUGUUUCGGUUAAACAGGUACUGUCGAGGAAGUAUUAGGUUGAGUGUAUGCUGAAUCAACAUGUCUAAUGUGGUGGGUCACAUAGGGGUUGACAAGCUUGCGACAUUAAACGUAUAUUCCUGCUAAAGUACGUAAAUGUGGGCUUUCAAAGGCAGCGGAGAUAGGUAUAAAAAUGAAAGUACGUUUAGGCUAUUCAGUCAAGUCUAGGUAUUAGAGAUCUGAACGUAAGCUAGCAUAAGAGAUGUAACUAGAAAUGCAUACGUUUAGUUUUGUGACUUACAUAACUAGCUAGACAUGGAGGUAUGAGUAAGUAUCACAUUAGGUUAACAUGCUAGUACAGGCUAAUAUUCCACUGGGUACCGCACACUGUCCAGAUAACAUCAAGAGAAAACUUUAAAAGAACAUGAUUGAACCUCCUGCGCCCCCUGCUCUUGGAGAAAACCAGAAUAAGAAUGGCUACCCAGCUGAAUCUAAAUUUGAUUAAUACAACCGGGUAUAUCUACUGGGCGCAGCCAGACAACAAAUCGGGUAGGUGGUUGUGUGUCUCUGGAAGACAGGGUGGUCAGGUGACGAGCUGUUCUUACAUGCCCCAUGCUGAUCAUGUUGUG